rnacentral:rRNA from 1 species
AAGCUCGUAGUUGAAUUUCGGGAUUAAUUUAUUGGUCGUGCAAUAGUACGUACUGGUAUUAUUGAUUCCUACCUUCUGACGAACCAUGAUGUCAUUAAUUUGGUGUCGUGGGGAAUCAGGACUGUUACUUUGAAAAAAUUAGAGUGUUUAAAGCAGGCUCACGCUUGAAUACAUUAGCAUGGAAUAACGAAAUAGGACGUUUGAUUCUAUUUUGUUGGUUUCUAGGAUCGACGUAAUGAUUAAUAGGGAUAGUUGGG